GCCCCUCAAAGGGUUGGAACGUAGAGGAAACUCAAAGCAUGAUGGACAAUUGCCAAGUUUGGUGAAACCGAAAAGUUCAUAGCAUUUGAUAUCACACAAAAGAAAUACCAAAUAUUGAAAAUAAAAAGUCUAAAGGUCUGAGUCUGAGCUCAUGCACCUGCUGGCCACAGGCCUUGGUCACCAACAGCGAGCAGCCAUCUGCCUAGGAAGAUCAGAGACAGGAAGAGUGCGCUGGGUGUUUUGUGCAGGGAGGUGCAGCCAGGUUCUGAGCUCCAGAGACUUGCUCCCACCCCUUGUGGAUGGCCUGUUGAUUACCUGGCCCCACACUGCCUGCUGCGCACCAUCAAACACAGCUGGAGGAAACUGCAUCACUAAUGCAACAAUCUCCUAACAGUUCCAGCCAGAAAACGAUGACAGAGUCUGCCACUGUGUGAUUGAAUCAGACGCCACUGCCUGGAGCUCCCUCCUCUUCCUUUUGUCCCCACCCCUUUCCCUUGGGAUCCAAGUCCGAGGGACACAGCUGGGACACACAAUGAAGACAGCCUCUGUCCUCAAGGGUCACAACUCUCAGAGACAGCCGGACGUGCAGACCUGACCCUGUGAGAGACCUGGCCCAGAACAGCGCAGAGAAACUCAGAAUAAACAGGGAUUUGGGGAAGAAACUCACUUCUUCUGAGUGUGACUUACCACCCAUUUAAAGAACAUUUUGCUCCUCCAUCAGUCAGUGCCGCUGUUCCUUAACUUGCAGCCGAGCAUCAUCCUAAUCUCCAGACGCUGAUCUCCUCUGGAACACGAAGGCAAUGGAAGCCUCAAGGGGCUCCUGGGAAGAGAGCUCCCCCUUUACAGCUCAUCUUCCACAGAGGACUCCAGGAAGGACGCUGCUAAACUGAACACAGCACAUAGCAGUCACUGAAGAGUCGAGUUGCUGCUUGGAAUCUUAAAUCUACAGAAUUCAUGGGGCUUUCUGGUUGGGGAUGGCAAUUAUUUAAGAGGGAGGCUACAUCUUUCCCUUUCCUUGACGAUGGCAGAUUUUGCAAUCAAU